rnacentral:lncRNA from 1 species
UUCGUAUAAAAGAAACAAAAUAAGAUUGAAAGAAAAACAAUAAGUAAACAAAGAACUUAAAAUGAGAAUAGACAAAGAAACCUCUUUUGCUUUGAUCUUUGAUUAAUCUUCAAAAAAAACUAGCUUUUCCAAAAACUAGCCUUCACAAUAACUCUUCUCCUUGAUUACUUUAAAAAGAAACCUCUCCAAAAAUCCUUUACAAUAACUUUC